AUGUCAGAGCUAGAAAAUAACUUAGAUGCGAUUUUGAUUCAGCGCUGGGCAACACCCGUCCCGCUGCCCCAGGGCCCGCUAGGCGCCUGGCAUAAUGGGAGAAAAUCACGACGGAAAGGUCCAGCCCCUCACCAUGCAGACGGGAAGCUCAGCCGCACGUGUGAGAACCCUUACGCCCCUUGGGGCUUCACCCCCGCUUCGCCGGCUCCAACAACCUGGGUCGGGGCCUCCUUGUCCUGUUGGGGCCUUUCUGCCCCACGAACACAGGCCCGAGCCAGGGCGAGGCCCGCGGGCCUCCCACCCGCCGUGCGUAGGCUGCCCUUCAGCGCCCCAGCACUGCGCUUGCGGCACCACCUGGGUCCCUUUUCCAUUCUGAUGACGUCCCUGUACGUCGUGGCUGCACGCUGCUCAAGACCCAGGUCUGUGCAGGUACCAGCAAAGUAGUAGAAUAUCGGUGCUACAUCUUUCUGGAGCACCCAUUUUACUACCGGAUUUGGAAGGAACGAAGUAAAGUAAUCUCCAAGAAUCAUCUCCCCUGCCCCACAAACAUGAAAGAAAAGACAAGAGAAGCACCACAGAAGAGGAGGGGAGAAGUGCUCCAGAAAAAGGUUAUCCAGUGUCUGAAACUUCGCCCAGGUGGGCACAGGCCAGCAAGCCUCUCCUCUGGUUGCCCAGCUAGCUGCAGGCUGUCAUAUAACCUUCUGCCCGGCGUGCUUUUGAGUGUGCGGAAGUGCUGUAUGCCCUCUUCUUUGAAAACCUGUUGAGCAAAUGCCUCCGCGUUUUAUGCCCCUUCAACCUCCACCGCCAAAGGCUCCCAACACCAAACAUGCUGUGCACACACAGCAGCUCUUUGUGUCCUGCUCCUGGCUGAUCUCCUGCAUCAUCUUGUUGAGCUCCAUUGAACUCCGCAGUCUGCAUGCUCUGUGGAACUCAGGGUCUUCUUGCUCCAUGGAACUCACGGUCUUCAUUUUCCAUGGAAAUCAAAGUCUUCUUACUCUGUGGAACUUGAGUUCUCCUGGCUCCGUGGAACUCAGGGCCUUUGUGCUCCAUGGAACUCAGGGUCCUUGUGCUCUGUGGUACUCGGGGUCUGUGUGCUCCAUGUAACUCGGGGACUGCAUGCUCCAUGGGAAGCACUGGGACACACUUGACCCCCCACACCCACACAUACAUCCUUCAUUUUAAUCCUGCCCCUCACCUGUCCACCUGUGAGGCUUCUUCACCCCCACUCUGCUUUGAGCUCAUGCCGGGUCUUUCGGGCUGGCCUGAAGCAUGGGUGUUGGUAGGAGGAAGUGGCUGAGGUCACACAUUCAGGCAAAUUCUGCUGGUGUCACACCUGAUGGAGCUGCCUGGGGAGGAUGUUUCCUUGGAGGAUGUGCCCUGGUGGCCACUGGCUUCUCAUGGUGCCCACACUGCUGCUGAUGCCAUGGGGGAGCCACAGGGCCACACAGGGGGCUAUUCUGGAAUUGGUGGUUUUCAUCUCCACGUUAGGUAAGAACUGGCAGGCAACUUGGCUGUCCUUGUGGCCUCUUGGCUGACCCUGGUCCUCCCCAGGUUGCUGAUUUUCUGGGCUGCUGCUCUUCCAGGAGGAAUUAAAGGUGGGAAUGGCUGAAACCUGUGCUUUGGAUUAGCAGAGACCCUAGGCUGCGUCAUGCAGAAAAGGGAAGGAUUGCAGAUGGUGGUGGGAUCAGCCGAAGGCAGGGGCUUCACUGUGAUGCUGGAGCCCUCCACGUUGGGAUGUUUGCAUACAGCCCAGGUUCAGUUAAGUGGCCCAUCAGCGAGUCCUGGAUCUGGUCUCACUCACAAGCCAUGGACAACAUGAGCUCAAUUUGCCAGGGCUCCCUGGGAGGGGAUGGGAGAGCCUGGGAAAGAGGCUGAGCUGCCUGUUACCCCCACCCCACACCCUGCCUCCUGUAAUCCCUUAGGAGGUCCACACUUUGAGUUGUCAGCCAGAGACAGUAACUCAAAACCUCGGCUUUGGGCAGCCAGACACCCAGAAAUGAGGGAGAGGGCAGGCCUAGACACCAAAAUAAAAGUCUAUAUAUUUUAAUAUAAAUACCAGAGGUGUUUGAACCAGAGCAACUCCAUCUUGAAUAGGUCCUGGGUAAUUUAGGCCCCACCCUUAAGCCUGGAGAAUCUUGAAUGAGGCUGAGACCUACUGGGCUGCAUUCCUAGGAAGGUAGGCAUUCUAAGUCACAGGAUGAGAUAGCAGGUCAGCACAAGAUACAGGUCACAAAGACCUUGCUGAUAAAACAGGUUGUGGUAAAGAAGCCAGCCACAACCAAGAUGGUGAUGAAAGUGAUGUCUGGUUCUCCUCACUGCUCAUUGUACGCUAAUUAUGAUGUAUUAGAAUGCUAAAAGACACUCCCACCAGCAUCAUGACAGUUUAGGAAUGCCAUGGCAAUGUCAGGAAGUUACCCUAUAUGGUCUAAAAGGGGGACGAACCCUCAAUUCCAGGAAUUGCCCACACCUUUCCUGGAAGAUGCAUGGAUAAUCCACCCCUUGUUUAGUAUGUAAUCAAAAAGUAACAAUAAGUACAAGCAGUUGAGCACCGCAUGCCACUGCUCUGCCUAUGGAGUGGCCAUUCUUUUAUUCCUUUACUUUCUCUAAUAAA